rnacentral:rRNA from 1 species
GAUGAACGCUGGCGGCGUGCCUAAUACAUGCAAGUCGAGCGAACGGACGAGAAGCUUGCUUUUCUGAUGUUAGCGGCGGACGGGUGAGUAACACGUGGAUAACCUACCUAUAAGACUGGGAUAACUUCGGGAAACCGGAGCUAAUAUCGGAUAAUAUUUUGAACCGCAUGGUUCAAAAGUGAAAGACGGUCUUGCUGUCACUUAUAGAUGGAUCCGCGCUGCAUUAGCUAGUUGGUAAGGUAACGGCUUACCAAGGCAACGAUGCAUAGCCGACCUGAGAGGGUGAUAGGCCACACUGGAACUGAGACACGGUCCAGACUCCUACGGGAGGCAGCAGUAGGGAAUCUUCCGCAAUGGGCGAAAGCCUGACGGAGCAACGCCGCGUGAGUGAUGAAGGUCUUCGGAUCGUAAAACUCUGUUAUUAGGGAAGAACAUAUGUGUAAGUAACUGUGCACAUCUUGACGGUACCUAAUCAGAAAGCCACGGCUAACUACGUG